GGGGUUGUAGCCCAGCGGCAGAGGCGACGUCUUUAGGUGGCGUAAAGCGCGGGUUCGAGUCCCGCCAACCCCAC
rnacentral:tRNA from 1 species